rnacentral:rRNA from 1 species
CCCUUAGAUGUUCUGGGCUGCACGCGCGCUACACUGAAGGAGGCAGCGUGUACUCCUGGAUCGAAAGAUUUGGGUAACCCGCGAAUCUCCUUCGUGCUAGGGAUUGAGGUUUGCAAUUAUCCUUCAUGAACGAGGAAUUCCCAGUAAGUGCAAGUCAUAAGCUUGCGCUGACUACGUCCCUGCCCUUUGUACACACCGCCCGUCGCUACUACCGAUUGAAUGAUUUAGUGAGGACUUCGGACUGGGACCGAUGCGGCUUUCGGGCUGCGUCGGUAUUCUGGAAAGAUGUCCAAACUGUAUCAUUUAGAGGAAGUAAAAGUCGUAACA